rnacentral:rRNA from 1 species
UGGGGAAUAUUGGACAAUGGGGGCAAGCCUGAUCCAGCCAUGCCGCGUGAGUGAUGAAGGCCCUAGGGUUGUAAAGCUCUUUCACCGGUGAAGAUAAUGACGGUAACCGGAGAAGAAGCCCCGGCUAACUUCGUGCCAGCAGCCGCGGUAAUACGAAGGGGGCUAGCGUUGUUCGGAUUUACUGGGCGUAAAGCGCACGUAGGCGGACUAUUAAGUCAGGGGUGAAAUCCCGGGGCUCAACCCCGGAACUGCCUUUGAUACUGGUAGUCUUGAGUUCGAGAGAGGUGAGUGGAAUUCCGAGUGUAGAGGUGAAAUUCGUAGAUAUUCGGAGGAACACCAGUGGCGAAGGCGGCUCACUGGCUCGAUACUGACGCUGAGGUGCGAAAGCGUGGGGAGCAAACAGG